GAAUAUAGCUGCCUUGCUCUCUGUCAUGCUUCAGCCUUACAUGCCCACGGUUAGUGCCACAAUCCAGGCCCAGCUGCAGCUCCCACCUCCAGCCUGCAGUAUCCUGCUGACAAACUUCCUGUGUACCUUACCAGCAGGACACCAGAUUGGCACAGUCAGUCCCUUGUUCCAAAAAUUGGAAAAUGACCAGAUUGAAAGUUUAAGGCAGCGCUUUGGAGGGGGCCAGGUGAGAAAGCUAAAGGCUGUGCCCUCGCUCCACAACAGCCACAGCAUCACUUCCCUAAUUUCCCUAAGUAGUCCUCACCCAUCACUCUUUCCAUCUUUUGGCCCUGCCGCUUCCUCACUUACAGUUUUUCUUUCCUGUCUUAACUAGAAGAGACCUUCGACUUAAAGGCAAAAACGUCCCCGAAGCCAGCAGUUGUAGAGACUGUUACAACAGCCAAGCCACAGCAGAUACAAGCGCUGAUGGAUGAAGUGACAAAACAAGGAAACAUUGUCCGAGAACUGAAAGCACAAAAGGCAGACAAGAACGAGGUUGCUGCGGAGGUGGCGAAACUCUUGGAUCUAAAGAAACAGUUGGCUGUAGCUGAGGGGAAACCCCCUGAAGCCCCUAAAGGCAAGAAGAAAAAGUAAAAGACCUUGGCUCAUAGAAAGUCACUUUAAUAGAUAGGGACAGUAAUAAAUAAAUGUACAAUCUCU
rnacentral:lncRNA from 1 species